UGGUUUGGAACUGAACCCACACUCUCUCUGAAGUGGGCCUGCAGAUAUGCAGAAAGAAGCCGAGAUUAAAGACCAUGUCGCUGGAUAGCUGGUCACAGUGGCCGGUGUCCACGCCACCCCCGUGACAGAUGUCCGCGCAGCAGUUCUUCCGACACCCCUGAGGAAUCCCUCCUGCUCCCUAACAGAAGCAUGUAGCUCCAGCUCCACGCCCUCUGCUCCCGGGCUCUCCUUCCAUCUCAGCUCCCAUCAAAGGUGGCGUAUGCCACAUCCUCCUGUGAUUCCAGCUGUCUCAUGGGAAGUUCAAGCUCAUGGCCAGGCCCCGUGGUGGGCAUGCAGCUCUGAGUGGCGGAGCAUCUCUCUGUACCUUCCACAUCUCUCCAAUCCUCUUCAGUGCAGAGAUGGAAGAGCUGGUCUGCUGUGAAUAUCCAACCAGGGGAAGGAGGUGCCAUCUCCUUUACAUGCUUCUUUAAUCUCUAUACUCAAUUCUCUUGGCAG
ensembl:lncRNA